rfam:Papio anubis isolate 1X1155 chromosome 7, whole genome shotgun sequence.
UAUUAGGUUGGUGCAAAAGUAAUUGUGGUUUUUACCAUUGAAAGUAAUGGCAAAACCCACAAUUACGUUUGUACCAACCUAAUA